rnacentral:lncRNA from 1 species
CUGGGCUCUGGCCACAGGCUGAGAGAGGAAGUGACUCCAAGGCUGAGCAGAGCUGGGCUGCUGGAAUUUCACACAUAGGUAGUCCUGCCUCUGUCUUCAGCAUGCUCCUGGUCAGCCUUCUCCCAGAAUCACACCUCUGAGCAGGGGCCAAGGAAUGAGCCCAGGAAGUUGACCUUUGAAGCACUCUCCUGCUCUUGGGGCCAUGUCAUCAGGAAGAAACUCCAGGCUGAAAACACAACUGCAAGGCCAACAGGCAGGGGAGCAGCUUUCUCAGGACACCUGAGGUCCUGCCCCACCAGGCUCUGGUCUUUACACACCAUCUCUCACUGUCCUCUAGCCCCAACUGCACAUUGCCUUCCUCCUUCCUGAGCUCAUGCUUGCCCCUCCCUCGGCAUCUCCCUAGCCCCAGCCUGAAGGCUGACCUCCUCCAGAAAGCCUCUCCCUCACCACGAGGCCAGAAAGAGUCUGUCCUGUCUCUAGCUUCUGAGUUUCUUAGUCCCAACGACUGUCCCUGCUCCACUGACACCUUCCAUACACAGCUUUGUGAGCUGUGCGCAUCUGUGGGUACCAGAGGGUAAGUUCGAGGGCCAGCUGACGCCUACUGUCUCUACUGUCUCACAGAUCUGCAUUGGGUUUCCUUGGUCCCAAUCCCCCACAGACACACACACAUGUACACACUCACACACACAACGCUGGACCAAUAGAGAGAACUUUAUCAGUAAAAUGUAACUAUUUCAUUACA